rnacentral:rRNA from 1 species
UACGAGGGGUGCAAGCGUUGCUCGGAAUUAUUGGGCGUAAAGGGUAGGUAGGUGGUCUCAUUUGUCUGGGGUGAAAGCCCAGGGCUUAACCCUGGAAGUGCCCCCAGAAACGGUGAGACUCGAGUACUGGAGAGGGUCGUGGAAUUCCCGGUGUAGCGGUGAAAUGCGUAGAGAUCGGGAGGAACACCAGCGGCGAAGGCGGCUUUCUGGUCUGAUACUGACGCUGAGGCACGAAAAGUGUGGGGGAUCAAAACAGG